rnacentral:snRNA from 1 species
CUGUCUUGAUAGCGAAGCAUGAAGAUGCUUCGCGCCACCAAGAGUAGUAUCUGUUCUUAUCAGUUCAAAAUCUGAUGUGUGGGGCAUGUGCCCACAACGACGUUAAAUUUAUUUUUCACAGGGGCUAGGCGCACCCCAA